UUGACCUCCGAAAUAAUUCACCGAAGUUGGGACUUCGACACGGUUUUUCCGUAGUGCCGGAAAAAUUUGUCGAAAUCCGAUUCUUCCUCUUUUAACACCCUUUUCAACUGUCAUCAACCCUUUCUAUAGCAUAAAUUCUUUAGAAUACUAGGUAGGGAUGGGUAUUUACCUUUUUCUUCUUGUGAAACUUGGGUCCUUGCGUAGAGGGAAGGGAGACCUACGUUUUUUCCUUCAGCUGGGAGCGCAACC
rnacentral:lncRNA from 1 species